ensembl:snRNA U6 U6 spliceosomal RNA
GUUCUGGCUUAGGCAGCACAUACACUAAAAUGAGAACAAUACAGAGAAGAUUGGCAUGGCACUUCUAUAAGGAGGACACUCAGGGGCUGGGAAGUUGGCUCAGUGGUA